UCCGUGUAUAGCGCAGUCUGGUAGCGCGAUAGUUUUGGGUACUAUAGGUCUCAGGUUCGAAUCCUGAUACACGGACCA
rnacentral:tRNA from 2 species